rnacentral:rRNA from 1 species
UACAGAGGGCUCAAGCGUUGUUCGGAUUUAUUGGGCGUAAAGGGCGCGUAGGCGGUUUGACAAGUCUGAUGUGAAAUCUAUGGGCUCAACCCAUAGCCUGCAUUAGAAACUGUCGGGCUUGAGUAUGGGAGAGGUGAGUGGAAUUUCCGGUGUAGCGGUGAAAUGCGUAGGUAUCGGAAGGAGCACCUGUGGCGAAAGCGGCUCACUGGACCAUAACUGACGCUGAGGCGCGAAAGCUAGGGGAGCAAACAGG